rnacentral:rRNA from 1 species
UACGGAGGGUGCAAGCGUUAAUCGGAAUGACUGGGCGUAAAGGGUGCGUAGGUUGCAAUGUAAGUUAUAGGUAAAAUCACUGGGCUCAACCUGGUUAGGAAUUAUAAUACUGCAUAGCUAGAGGAUGGGAGAGGGUAGUGGAAUUUCCGGUGUAGCGGUGAAAUGCGUAGAGAUCGGAAGGAACACCAGUUGCGAAGGCGGCUACCUGGCCUAUUACUGACACUGAGGCACGAAAGCGUGGGGAGCAAACAGG